AACAGCAAAUCAGAGGCAGAUACACACGGGGGCUGAACCCAGCAGGCAUGGCCCCAUGUCUCUGGGCAAUGUCUCUGGGGUUUGGGAUCCCAGGGGGAAUGGCUGGGGGGGUGUGAGAACCAUCCUGCCCCACCCCAGCCAGACACAUUGGUACCAGGAUCUCUUCCCAGAUUGGGGGCCCUCUUACCCCAUCUGCCCAGCAUCACGGGACUCAGGAAACCCCAGAACUGCUCAUACCUGUGGUUGAUCAGGAAACUCUCUAAGCCACCACUUCUUCUAAAUCCUGAACCAGCUCCACCCUCCUAUCACUGGCCUGCCCAGUCCUGCUCACGGGGACCUCACUUCUUACCUUGUCCCUGGGGAGCCAGCCUGGCCCGGGGGAUGUCACUGCUGGAGGCCGUCAUCUUCUUAUCUCUCCGGGCCUUUGGCCUUGGGCAGGGGAAACUGGAACAACCUGAAAUAUCAAUUUCCAGAGCAAGGGGGAAGAGUGCACACAUAUUGUGCAAGAUGUCCGCUGAGGUCAUCAAUAGAGCCAUACACUGGUACCGGCAGAAGCCAGAUCAGGAGAUAGAACAUCUAACACUCGUCUCAACACACCCCGUUCGAGUUUCUUUAGGAGGGAAGAGCGACAAACUUGAGGCAAGUAAAAACGCUCACACUUCCACUGCAACCUUGAAAAUAAAUUUCUUAGAGCAAGAUGAGGCCGUGUACUUCUGUGCCUGCUGGGACUGGAGCCACAGCACCAGAGUUGCCAGGAGAAGCUGCACAAGAACCGUGCUCGGGUCUGGGUCCACCCACAUUCUUCUCCACAUGGGCAACCACAGAGGCCGCACGGCCCGGUGCCCAGCCGGAGCCUCUCCCUCUGCAGUAGUUCCUGACCUUUGCAGGAAGACGUUGUAG